GAAACAGUGGCUAAGACUGGAUAGGAAGAUAAAAGGCAUCUUGUAUCUUUUAAAAGACCUAGUUAAUAGGUAUGCUUUAGGAGGGGCUUGCGCCAUAUUAGUUAGUUGGUAGGGUAAUGGCCUACCAAGACGAUGAUGUGUAGCUGGACUGAGAGGUUGAACAGCCACAUUGGGACUGAGACACGGCCCAAACUCCUACGGGAGGCAGCAGUAGGGAAUUUUCGGCAAUGGAGGAAACUCUGACCGAGCAACGCCGCGUGAAUGACGAAGUACUUCGGUAUGUAAAGUUCUUUUAUCGAGGAAGAAAAGCAAAUGGCGAACCAUUUGUUUGCCGGUACUUGAUGAAUAAGCCCCGGCUAAUUAUGUGCCAGCAGCCGCGGUAAGACAUAAGGGGCAAGUGUUAUCCGGAAUUAUUGGGCGUAAAGGGUGCGUAGGCGGUCUAGUAAGUCAGUGGUGUAAUGGCAACGCUUAACGUUGUCCGGCUAUUGAAACUGCUAAACUUGAGUUAGAUAGAGGCGAGUGGAAUUCCAUGUGUAGCGGUAAAAUGCGUAAAUAUAUGGAGGAACACCAGAGGCGUAGGCGGCUCGCUGGGUCUUAACUGACGCUGAGGCACGAAAGCGUGGGGAGCAAACAGGAUUAGAUACCCUGGUAGUCCACGCCGUAAACGAUGAGUACUAAGUGUCGGGUUAAACCGGUACUGAAGUUAACACAUUAAGUACUCCGCCUGAGUAGUACGUACGCAAGUAUGAAACUUAAAGGAAUUGACGGGACUCCGCACAAGCGGUGGAUCAUGUUGUUUAAUUCGAAGAUACCCGAAAAACCUUACCAGGUCUUGACAUGUUUUUGCAAAAUGAUAGUAAUAUCGUGGAGGUUACCAGAAACACAGGUGGUGCAUGGUUGUCGUCAGCUCGUGUCGUGAGAUGUUAGGUUAAGUCCUAAAACGAGCGAAACCCUUAUCGUUAGUUGCCAGCACGUUAUGGUGGGGACUUUAACGAGACUGCCAAUGAUAAGUUGGAGGAAGGUGAGGAUCACGUCAAAUCAGCAUGCCCCUUAUGACCUGGGCUACAAACGUGAUACAAUGGCUGUUACAAAGGGUAGCUGAAACGCAAGUUCUUGGCCAAUCCCCAAAAACAGUCCCAGUCCGGAUUGAAGUCUGCAACUCGACUUCAUGAAGUUGGAAUCGCUAGUAAUCGCGAAUCAGCAUGUCGCGGUGAAUACGUUCUCGGGGUUUGUACACACCGCCCGUCA
rnacentral:rRNA from 1 species